CCUACGGGAGGCAGCAGUAGGGAAUCUUCCGCAAUGGACGAAAGUCUGACGGAGCAACGCCGCGUGAACGAUGAAGGCCUUCGGGUCGUAAAGUUCUGUUGUUAGGGAAGAACAAGUGCUAGUUGAAUAAGCUGGCACCUUGACGGUACCUAACCAGAAAGCCACGGCUAACUACGUGCCAGCAGCCGCGGUAAUACGUAGGUGGCAAGCGUUGUCCGGAAUUAUUGGGCGUAAAGCGCGCGCAGGCGGUUUCUUAAGUCUGAUGUGAAAGCCCCCGGCUCAACCGGGGAGGGUCAUUGGAAACUGGGAAACUUGAGUGCAGAAGAGGAAAGUGGAAUUCCAAGUGUAGCGGUGAAAUGCGUAGAGAUUUGGAGGAACACCAGUGGCGAAGGCGACUUUCUGGUCUGUAACUGACGCUGAGGCGCGAAAGCGUGGGGAGCAAACAGGAUUAGAUACCCUGGUAGUCCACGCUGUAAACGAUGAGUGCUAAGUGUUAGAGGGUUUCCGCCCUUUAGUGCUGAAGUUAACGCAUUAAGCACUCCGCCUGGGGAUACGGUCGCAAGACUGAAAACUCAAAAGAGUAGUGACGUGNGAGAGCGACGACGACGACGACGGAGGAGGAG
rnacentral:rRNA from 1 species